UACGGAGGGUGCAAGCGUUAAUCGGAAUUACUGGGCGUAAAGCGUGCGUAGGCGGAUUAUUAAGUCAGAUGUGAAAUCCCGGGGCUCAACCUCGGAACUGCAUUUGAAACUGGUAGUCUAGAGUAUUGUAGAGGGUGGUGGAAUUUCAGGUGUAGCGGUGAAAUGCGUAGAUAUUCUGAGGAAUACCGGUGGCGAAGGCGGCCCCCUGGAUUGAUACUGACGCUGAUGGACGAAAGCGUGGGUAGCGAACAGG
rnacentral:rRNA from 1 species